CCUACGGGAGGCAGCAGUGGGGAAUCUUCCACAAUGGGCGAAAGCCUGAUGGAGCAACGCCGCGUGCAGGAUGAAGGCCUUCGGGUCGUAAACUGCUUUUAUUUGUGAAGAAUAUGACGGUAACAAAUGAAUAAGGGUCGGCUAACUACGUGCCAGCAGCCGCGGUCAUACGUAGGACCCAAGCGUUAUCCGGAGUGACUGGGCGUAAAGAGUUGCGUAGGUGGUUUGUAAAGCGAAUAGUGAAAUCUGGCGGCUCAACCGUACAGGCUAUUAUUCGAACUCACAAACUCGAGAAUGGUAGAGGUUACUGGAAUUUCUAGUGUAGGAGUGAAAUCCGUAGAUAUUAGAAGGAACACCAAUGGCGUAGGCAGGUAACUGGACCAUUUCUGACACUAAGGCACGAAAGCGUGGGGAGCGAACCGGCUUAGAUACCCUUGUAGUC
rnacentral:rRNA from 1 species